CCUCAGGAUCUGAGCCAGGGGAUCUCGGGUGAGAAGCUCAGUUUAGUGGGCUCUGACCCUCAGCCCUCAUCUGCAUGAAGGAGACAUAGCCCUGCCUUGCAGGCUGCUGCUGUGGUCCACCGUUGUAGAUGGCCCUAGAGGGGACCACCACAGAAGGGGGAUGAUGCCAAAGCUACACAUGAAGUCCUGCUCCAAUGCCCAUUCUCUGUAUGAUCUUUAGGUAAGUUCUUAAAGCCUCAGUUUCCUCAUCUGUGAAAUGGAAGUAAAACAAGAACCUGCCUUACAGCACUAUUGCUGGAUUAUAUGAGGUACCUUGCAGUAGGCAGUUAGCGGAGCUGACAUAGUAUAAGCACUCAGUAAUUACUAUCUAUAACAGGUCCAUGGUCUGUUAUCUGAUUCUGAAGUCAGAAAAGCUCUGAAAAUUGUAUAUGUGGUGUCAAAACUCAUUUGGAAGCGAAGCCUCUCCUGAAGUGAUGCAUAGCUAUAUUUAGAAACGCUAAUGAGGUAUUGCUGUGGAGCCGCUGGGGCUGUUACAUGAUGCAUUGUACACGCGUCACAUUGCCCAUC
rnacentral:lncRNA from 12 species